UUCAAUGACGUCUCUUCCUCUCAUCGUGGGGCAGAAUUCACCAGGUGCUGGAUUGUUCACCCGCUAAUGGGGAACGUGAGCUGGGUUAGACUGAUGUGAGACAGGUU
rnacentral:ncRNA from 1 species